rnacentral:lncRNA from 1 species
GUUCGGCAGCUCCUGCAGAUAGCUUGGAUAAAAAUUCUUCAAAGUCUUUCACAUCCGAAGAGGUCGGUUUAAUCAAAGAUACUGCAGAAAGCAGAAAAACAUGUAUCAGAAUCCAUAUUGUCAAAAAUUUCAAAUAAUCAUAUUCCCAAAUGAUUUGAAACUUACAUUUAUGGUCAUAUAACCAUGCUUGCUUGUUAAGAAGUAAGUAAUUCC